UACGUAGGGGGCGAGCGUUGUCCGGAUUUAUUGGGCGUAAAGAGCUCGUAGGCGGCUUGUCACGUCGGAUGUGAAAGCCCGGGGCUUAACCCCGGGUCUGCAUUCGAUACGGGCAGGCUAGAGUUCGGUAGGGGAGAUCGGAAUUCCUGGUGUAGCGGUGAAAUGCGCAGAUAUCAGGAGGAACACCGGUGGCGAAGGCGGAUCUCUGGGCCGAUACUGACGCUGAGGAGCGAAAGGCGUGGGGAGCGAACAGG
rnacentral:rRNA from 1 species